UCCGGAGGGGGCUAUCGUUGUUCGGAAUUACUGGGCGUAAAGCGCACGUAGGCGGGCUGGAAAGUCAGGGGUGAAAUCCCGGGGCUCAACCCCGGAACUGCCUUUGAAACUUCCAGUCUUGAGGUCGAGAGAGGUGGGUGGAAUUCCGAGUGUAGAGGUGAAAUUCGUAGAUAUUCGGAGGAACACCGGUGGCGAAGGCGGCCCACUGGCUCGAUACUGACGCUGAGGUGCGAAAGCGUGGGGAGCAAACAGG
rnacentral:rRNA from 1 species